UUGUCAGGGUGGGAGGCGACACAGGCAUAGGUGAACAAGGUGUAGAGAAUAGGGCUAAGGACACAGCCCUGUGGGGUUCCAAUGUUAGUGGUGAUGCUGGCUGAAGUCCUGUUCCCAAUCCUGACAGACUGAGGCCUGCCGGUUAGAGAGUCCUAGU